rnacentral:rRNA from 1 species
GAUGAACGCUAGCGAUAGGCCUAACACAUGCAAGUCGAGGGGCAUCACAUGAAGUAGCAAUACGGAUGGUGGCGACCGGCGCACGGGGUGAGUAACACGUAUGCAACCUGCCUUCAACAAGGGGAUAACCCGUUGAAAGACGGACUAAUACCCUAUAACACAGGGGUCCCGCAUGGGAAUAUUUGUUAAAGGACAACCGGUUGAAGAUGGGCAUGCGUUCCAUUAGCUAGUUGGCGGGGUAACGGCCCACCAAGGCAACGAUGGAUAGGGGAACUGAGAGGUUUAUCCCCCACACUGGUACUGAGACACGGACCAGACUCCUACGGGAGGCAGCAGUGAGGAAUAUUGGUCAAUGGACGCAAGUCUGAACCAGCCACGUCGCGUGAAGGAAGACGGCCCUACGGGUUGUAAAC